UUGAAGAGUUUGAUCAUGGCUCAGAUUGAACGCUGGCGGCAGGCCUAACACAUGCAAGUCGAACGGUAACAGGAAGCAGCUUGCUGCUUUGCUGACGAGUGGCGGACGGGUGAGUAAUGUCUGGGAAACUGCCCGAUGGAGGGGGAUAACUACUGGAAACGGUAGCUAAUACCGCAUAACGUCGCAAGACCAAAGAGGGGGACCUUAGGGCCUCUUGCCAUCGGAUGUGCCCAGAUGGGAUUAGCUAGUAGGUGGGGUAAUGGCUCACCUAGGCGACGAUCCCUAGCUGGUCUGAGAGGAUGACCAGCCACACUGGAACUGAGACACGGUCCAGACUCCUACGGGAGGCAGCAGUGGGGAAUAUUGCACAAUGGGCGCAAGCCUGAUGCAGCCAUGCCGCGUGUAUGAAGAAGGCCUUCGGGUUGUAAAGUACUUUCAGCGGGGAGGAAGGGAGUAAAGUUAAUACCUUUGCUCAUUGACGUUACCCGCAGAAGAAGCACCGGCUAACUCCGUGCCAGCAGCCGCGGUAAUACGGAGGGUGCAAGCGUUAAUCGGAAUUACUGGGCGUAAAGCGCACGCAGGCGGUUUGUUAAGUCAGAUGUGAAAUCCCCGGGCUCAACCUCGGGAACUGCAUCUGAUACUGGCAAGCUUGAGUCUCGUAGAGGGGGUAGAAUUCCAGGUGUAGCGGUGAAAUGCGUAGAGAUCUGGAGGAAUACCGGUGGCGAAGGCGGCCCCCUGGACGAAGACUGACGCUCAGGUGCGAAAGCGUGGGGAGCAAACAGGAUUAGAUACCCUGGUAGUCCACGCCGUAAACGAUGUCGACUUGGAGGUUGUGCCCUUGAGGCGUGGCUUCCGGAGCUAACGCGUUAAGUCGACCGCCUGGGGAGUACGGCCGCAAGGUUAAAACUCAAAUGAAUUGACGGGGCCCGCACAAGCGGUGGAGCAUGUGGUUUAAUUCGAUGCAACGCGAAGAACCUUACCUGGUCUUGACAUCCACGGAAGUUUUCAGAGAUGAGAAUGUGCCUUCGGGAACCGUGAGACAGGUGCUGCAUGGCUGUCGUCAGCUCGUGUUGUGAAAUGUUGGGUUAAGUCCCGCAACGAGCGCAACCCUUAUCCUUUGUUGCCAGCGGUCCGGCCGGGAACUCAAAGGAGACUGCCAGUGAUAAACUGGAGGAAGGUGGGGAUGACGUCAAGUCAUCAUGGCCCUUACGACCAGGGCUACACACGUGCUACAAUGGCGCAUACAAAGAGAAGCGACCUCGCGAGAGCAAGCGGACCUCAUAAAGUGCGUCGUAGUCCGGAUUGGAGUCUGCAACUCGACUCCAUGAAGUCGGAAUCGCUAGUAAUCGUGGAUCAGAAUGCCACGGUGAAUACGUUCCCGGGCCUUGUACACACCGCCCGUCACACCAUGGGAGUGGGUUGCAAAAGAAGUAGGUAGCUUAACCUUCGGGAGGGCGCUUACCACUUUGUGAUUCAUGACUGGGGUGAAGUCGUAACAAGGUAACCGUAGGGGAACCUGCGGUUGGAUCACCUCCUU
rnacentral:rRNA from 1 species